rnacentral:rRNA from 2 species
UAAGUUAGUAAGGGCGCACGGUGAAUGCCUUGGCACUAGGAGCCGAUGAAGGACGGGACUAACACCGAUAUGCUUCGGGGAGCUGUAAGUAAGCUUUGAUCCGGAGAUUUCCGAAUGGGGAAACCCACUGUUCGUAAUGGGACAGUAUCUUUACCUGAAUACAUAGGGUAUCGAAGGCAGACCCGGGGAACUGAAACAUCUAAGUACCCGGAGGAAGAGAAAGCAAAUGCGAUUUCCUGAGUAGCGGCGAGCGAAACGGAAGAAGCCCAAACCAAGAGGCUUGCCUCUUGGGGUUGUAGGACACUCUAUACGGAGUUACAAAAGAACGAAGUAGGUGAAUUGGUCUGGAAAGGCCAGCCAAAGGAGGUAACAGCCCUGUAGCUGAAACUUCGUUCCCUCUUGAGUGGAUCCUGAGUACGGCGGGACACGUGAAAUCCCGUCGGAAGCUGGGAGGACCAUCUCCCAAGGCUAAAUACUCCCUAGUGACCGAUAGUGAACCAGUACCGUGAGGGAAAGGUGAAAAGCACCCCGGAAGGGGAGUGAAAGAGAUCCUGAAACCGUGUGCCUACAAGUAGUUGGAGCCCAUU